rnacentral:lncRNA from 1 species
AUGUCUGCUGUGGACAGACCAGGAGCCACGCAGCCUCGGUGGGACAGACCUUCCAGGAAUCCUCUGGGACUCGUGGCUGGAAGCAGGCGUCCCCUCAGCACAUGCACCUGGCUCCCUGACGGCCCCCGCUCCGCUCAGCGCACGCACAGGAGUCCCGUUUAUGUGUCCUUUGUCAGCAAGGCCAUCCUGUGGGACAGAGGACUCUGUCACUACCCUGCUCACGUUCAUCCCACCGAUCGCACCUCACUGUGUCCACGCUUCUUAUCCCACAUGAAGGCUUGUCCAGGAGACUUCAGGCCUCCUUGUUUCCUCAGCUCCACGUUAAGGCCACAGCCUCCACCUCAGGGGACGACGACACACAUCCUCCUGGCACCAAAGACCCAAACGCUGGAGGGGUGCUUCCAUUUCGAUCCAGAGAGAAGAGGUCGUGCAGUUCACAGCGCUCGCGUCAACGUAGGGCGACGCGCUGCUGUCGCUCCUCCCCGUCCUCCGCUCCCUGCGACACCGCCUCCAUCCAGCAGCAGCAGCAGCAGCAGCCCAACGCCUCCCCGCCAGCGCAGCCUCCGCGCCCACUCUGGGCGACAGCAGAGCGGGUCCAGCACGGCGCCACCGUCCCCUCCUGGGCCUCGUCUCCCUUCAGAGGAUAAACACGAGUCACCGGAGAAGGAGCGAGCGCCUCAGCCAGCGGUGGUGUCCAUCGCAGAGUCCGCAGAGCGGGACGGGCCGCUGAACCUUGGGCCGGCUGGACCCGUGCGCUCAGAGACACCGGCCUCUGCUGUGUCACACGGCUCCCUCUCAGACUGGAGUCGCCCUCCCUCCAGCCUUUUCAGUCGGAGCACUGACCUCUCCAGUGGCAGGAGCAGUGUCCUGUCGGCAGGUGUGACGGACACAGACCCUGAAGGCAGCGUUUGCCUCUCUCCCCUCCACCUGUCGUCAGUGAUGGAGCUACCUCUGUCUGCCUCUCCAGCUGGACCCACCCCUCACGGGUCCACAACAAGCACCACCACCCAUCCACCCUAUGAGCCGGACUCACGUCAAACCAAGGCCUUCUCGCCUCGCCCAACUUCAAGCAUCCAGUCACAUUCACAUAAACCCCUGAGCAGCAGCAGAAGCUCAAAACCAGCAGAGAAGCUCCCCCACGAUGCGUCCACAGAUCCCGCUCUCAACCUGUCUCUGCCCUCUGACCAUGGCCUUGUCACACUGACUUUCACCCCCACCACCUGGUCGUCCUGCCCAAGUCCACAAAGGAGCACUCCCCCUUCCCCUCCCCUGAGUGGCCUGGAGUCUCAGCGUUGGCCCGUGCUGCCGCCCAUCUCUCCAGUCAGAGGACGCUGCGGCACAGCAGCAUCACGCUACUCUGAACUAAGCUGCACGCAGUCUCACGUGUUCGAUGAACUGGAGGCCAUCGCUCCCCUGUCCACUUCCUGUCUGUCGCUAGACGAGGCCUCAGACUCAUCGGGCACGUCUUCACCUGACUCAGGUCUGCCCUGA